CUUUCUCUCUGUGUGUGUGGCUGUGUCUUUAAAUGAAUGUGUGUACGCGUUAAUAAAACACAAAUAAUAACAAAUUCGUGAGACUUGCUGCAUUUUAGUCGUUGUUGCAGUUCCGCUGUGAACCACUGUGUUGCCGUCUCAGCUCGCGCCGCGCUUUGAAUUUGUAUUUGUACAUUUCACAUCGUCUCUCUCUCACACUGCCGCCGCCGCCGCCAACGACGCUGCACGCACACACACAUUCGCAAGCCGCACGCAAAACCAAACACACACACAUUCAUAUAUACAAAUGCGGAAGAGUCGCCGCAGUCGGCAUAUUUAGAUCCCCACCGUUGCCAUCAACAAUAAUUUUCGCUGCCGUUGCCUCUGUCGCCGCCGCAGUCGUCGCUCAAUAAUUGUGCAUUUUGUUAAAAGUCGCCAGCAGCAACAGCAACAACAGCAGAAUAA